GAUGAACGCUAGCGGCAGGCCUAACACAUGCAAGUCGAGGGGUAACUAGAGUGAUAGCAAUAUUACUUUGGCUAGACCGGCGCACGGGUGCGUAACACGUAUGCAACCUACCUUACACUGGGGAAUAACUUCGAGAAAUCGGCGCUAAUACCCCAUAACACUGCGGAGAGGCAUCUCUUUGCAGUUAAAGCUCCGGCGGUAUAAGAUGGGCAUGCGUCCAAUUAGCUAGUGUGGGAGGUAACGGCUCACCAAGGCUACGAUUGGUAGGGGUUCUGAGAGGAUGAUCCCCCACACUGGUGAUGAGACGCGGACCAGACUCCGACGGGAGGCAGCAGUGAGGAAUAUUGCGCAAUGGACGAAAGUCUGACGCAGCCAUGCCGCGUGCAGGAUGACGGCCCUAUGGGUUGUAAACUGCUUUUGUACGGGAAUAAACCCUUCUACGUGUAGGAGGCUGAAGGUACCGUAAGAAUAAGCACCGGCUAACUCCGUGCCAGCAGCCGCGGUAA
rnacentral:rRNA from 1 species